UGAGGAACAUGACUUUCGGCGGGGGAUAGCCGGCCCAACGGCCGGGUAAUACCGCGUACGACCUUUUGGGGACAUCCCCGAUUGGUGAAAGCAGCAAUGCGCCGAAAGAGUGCCUCGCGGCCUAUCAGCUAGUUGGUGGGGUCAUGGCUCACCAAGGCGACGACGGGUAGCUGGUCUGAGAGGACGACCAGCCACACUGGAACUGAGACACGGUCCAGACUCCGUACGGGAGCAGCAGG
rnacentral:rRNA from 1 species